CAGGGAGGAAACCCAAGGCACAGAGGAGGAGGUGAGAUACUGAGAACUGCUCCAGCAAACCAGGAAAAGAGGUCCACCAGGCAUUCCACGUGCCAGCCUGGGCUCCCUCCCUACUGUAUGGCAGCAUCACUCACAGAAAUGAUAAGGCUAAAGGAGCAAGAGGAAAGACGCAGAAAUGGGUGUACAUUGCUAUUCAGGCUUGAAUCGAGGUACCUUUGCUCCAGCAGCCUGCCUCCUACCACAAGCACUUCUGGAGGCUAUACAAGAACUCUGCUACAUGUAAAUAUAAGAAAAAAAAGAAUGAGAAAGGUCAUCAGAGCUUCCUAAGCCUGAUCAGAUAUCAGAACGGUCCUGCUGAGUUUUGCAUCCUGACACUUUGAAUUAUGGCAAAAGAAUUUUUAGCAACAUGCUCUUCUUUUUCCAUCUUUUUAUAUUCAUUUAUCACAGCUAGUGAUUGUUCCUGGCUUCUUUUGAUCAUAGCCAACUUCUUUCCCUUUGGAGAAAGUAUUUCUUAAUACGAAAAUGUUAUCCUUUCACUUCUGCGAUUAAAUAUAACCACUUUGUUUCCAUUUUCUUGCUAUAAUGCUCCUAACACAUUCACCCUGCCCAGCUCUGAAGGAACAGCUGUAAUAUUUUGUCUAUGGCAAUAUAUGCAAGAAAGAUGCAAAAAUGUCAGGCAGCACAAGAAAUAAAACCUUUUCUAUAAAUAUACCAAGAAAAAUGAGUAAAAAUGCUAAACUGCUU
rnacentral:lncRNA from 7 species